GGGUAGGUAGCGAAGAGGCUAAACGCGGUAGACUGUAAAUCUACUCCUUAGGGUUCGGCGGUUCGAAUCCGUCCCUGCCCACCA
rnacentral:tRNA from 1 species